rnacentral:rRNA from 1 species
UGGGGAAUUUUGGACAAUGGGCGCAAGCCUGAUCCAGCAAUGCCGCGUGCAGGAUGAAGGCCUUCGGGUUGUAAACUGCUUUUGUACGGAACGAAAAGCCCUGGGUUAAUACCCUGGGGUCAUGACGGUACCGUAAGAAUAAGCACCGGCUAACUACGUGCCAGCAGCCGCGGUAAUACGUAGGGUGCGAGCGUUAAUCGGAAUUACUGGGCGUAAAGCGUGCGCAGGCGGUUUUGUAAGACAGAGGUGAAAUCCCCGGGCUCAACCUGGGAACUGCCUUUGUGACUGCAAAGGCUAGAGUACGGCAGAGGGGGAUGGAAUUCCGCGUGUAGCAGUGAAAUGCGUAGAUAUGCGGAGGAACACCGAUGGCGAAGGCAAUCCCCUGGGCCUGUACUGACGCUCAUGCACGAAAGCGUGGGGAGCAAACAGGAUUAGAUACCCUGGUAGUCCACGCCCUAAACGAUGUCAACUGGUUGUUGGGUCUUAACUGACUCAGUAACGAAGCUAACGCGUGAAGUUGACCGCCUGGGGAGUACGGCCGCAAGGUUGAAACUUAAAGAAUUGACGGGGUCAUAGCUGUUUCCU